rnacentral:rRNA from 1 species
AUACGGAGGGUGCAAGCGUUAUUCGGAAUCACUGGGCGUAAAGGACGCGUAGGCGGGAAGCCAAGUCUGAUGUGAAAUCCUAUGGCUUAACCAUAGAACUGCAUUGGAAACUGGUUACCUAGAGUAUGGGAGGGGGAGAUGGAAUUAGUGGUGUAGGGGUAAAAUCCGUAGAUAUCACUAGGAAUACCGAAAGCGAAGGCGAUCUCCUGGAACAAUACUGACGCUAAGGCGUGAAAGCGUGGGGAGCAAACGGGAUUAGAAACCCCGGUAGUCC